UAUAGUUUGAUUUUGUGUAUUAUGCAGAAUUGUACUAUUUAAUAUGUACUAUGUUAAUGUAUAUUUAAUAUGUACUAUGUAUGUAUAUUUAACAUGUAACAUUUACAUGUACCAUUUAAUCUUUUGUGUCAUUGUCUUAUCCUUAUCAUCUGUUGCAGCUGGUAAGGUUUCUAUAUUAUGUUAUUUCAAAAUUAUUUAUAUGGCAAAGUAUUUGCAAGAGUUAGAUUUUUGUUCAUUAAACUUUUUUUUUGCCGAAGUGUCAUCUAUAGCUGCUCAAUCUGGUAAGGUUUUUUUAUUUUAACUGUUUAAUAUAUUUUUAAUAUUUAAAUUUUAAAAACAACUUCAAGACUGACUGGUAUGUGUACUAUAUGCUUCUAUAUUUUAAAGUUAUUCAAAGAUUGUAUUUUUUUUACUUUGUAACAUGAUUUAAUAAAAAAAAAUCAUGCAAUAUAUUUAUACUGAUCCAACUAGUAAGUUUAUUUAUUAUAACUUUGUAAUAAGACUUUCAUAGCAAGAUAAUUAUGAAAAUAAUAAUUUAUUAUGCCUUUUUUUUUUUCUUUUUUUUUUUUUUAGUACCAUUAUAAUUUGUUUUAGCUGGUAAGGAUAAAUAUAUUACAAUUUUGCAGCAUUAUUUUAAACACAAAAUAAUUUAAAGAUUUUUGCUUGUAUUAUGUUUUCAAUUUUUUAGUUCCACCUUCCACUGAUCUAACUGGUAAGGUUGUAUAUUUUUGCUUUGCAUUAUGAUUUGCAAUACGAUUGUGUAAAAUGCUUUUUCAUUUCUUUUUUAGUGCUAUCAUCAUCUGCUUCAACUGUGCCAUCAUCAUCUACUCCAACUGUGGCAUCAUCAUCUGCUCCAACUGUGCCAUUAUCUACUCCAACUGUGCCAUCUUCAUGUGCUCCAACUGGUUAGUAUAUAUGUUUCAAAUCUGCAAUAUGAGUUUAAAUAAAAUUGAUUUUUAAGAUUGUGUAUAAUGCUUUUGACCAAGUUAGAUAUAUUUUUUA